UACGGAGGUGGCAAGCGUUGCUCGGAAUCACUGGGCGUAAAGGGCGCGUAGGCGGGGAGGUAAGUCGGGUGUGAAAUCCCUCGGCCCAACCGAGGAACUGCGCCCGAGACUGCUUCUCUUGAGUCCCGGAGAGGAAGAUGGAAUUCCUGGUGUAGCGGUGAAAUGCGUAGAUAUCAGGAGGAACACCUGUGGUGUAGACGGCUUACUGGACUAUAACUGACGCUGAGGAACGAAAGCGUGGGUAGCAAACAGG
rnacentral:rRNA from 1 species